UACAGAGGUCUCAAGCGUUGUUCGGAUUCAUUGGGCGUAAAGGGUGUGUAGGUGGCGCCGUAAGUGGGGUGUGAAAUUUCGAGGCUUAACCUCGAAACUGCAUUCCAUACUGCGGUGCUUGAGGACUGGAGAGGAGACUGGAAUUUACGGUGUAGCAGUGAGAUGCGUAGAUAUCGUAAGGAAGACCAGUGGCGAAGGCGGGUCUCUGGACAGUUCCUGACGCUGAGGCACGAAGGCCAGGGGAGCAAACGGG
rnacentral:rRNA from 1 species